AUUUUGAUUCCGUGUAUGUUUCGAUUUUGAUUAUAAUACACCCUGUGUUGUCAGACCUAACUUGGCUCGGUCGGUGGGCCCGUGAAAACCGUGACCGUUAAGGAAGAUAGGUCGAGAAGCCCACAAAAUCAAAAAAAUAUAACCCCUUUGCAUUAAAAAUUGGUUGACCCAGUUGAAAACCGGCCGAAAACCAUCUAAAACCCAUAAACUGAAAAGGAAAAUUG
rnacentral:lncRNA from 1 species